GACGAACGCUGGCGGCGUGCUUAACACAUGCAAGUCGAACGGAAAGGCCCUGCUUUUGUGGGGUGCUCGAGUGGCGAACGGGUGAGUAACACGUGAGUAACCUGCCCUUGACUUUGGGAUAACUUCAGGAAACUGGGGCUAAUACCGGAUAGGAGCUCCUGCUGCAUGGUGGGGGUUGGAAAGUUUCGGCGGUUGGGGAUGGACUCGCGGCUUAUCAGCUUGUUGGUGGGGUAGUGGCUUACCAAGGCUUUGACGGGUAGCCGGCCUGAGAGGGUGACCGGCCACAUUGGGACUGGUAUAGGGCCCGGGCCCCUACGGGGGGCAGCGGUGGGGAAUUUUGCAAAAGGGGCGGAAGCCUGAAGCAGCAACGCCGCGUGCGGGAUGACGGCUUUCGGGUUGUAAACCUAUUUCGCCUGUGACGAAGCGUGAGGGAGGGUAAUUGGUAAAGAACCACCGGCUAACUACGG
rnacentral:rRNA from 1 species